CUGCAAUAAUUACAGUCGCAGGAUUAAAGGACCACUCUAGGCACCCAGACCACUUCAGCUUAAUGAAGUGGUCUGGGUGCCAGGUCCCUCUAGGAUUAACCCUUUCUUUUAUAAACAUAGCAGUUUCAGAGAAACUGCUAUGUUUAGAAUAGGGUUAAUCCAGCCUCUAAAGCCUCUAGUGGCUGUCUCAUUGACAGCCGCUAGAGGCGUUUGCGUGCUUCUCACUGUGAAAAUCACAAGACACCAGUGUCCAUAGAGGGGGUCCCUGAGGGUGGGGGCACCCUCAGGGCACUAUAGUGCCAGGAAAACGACUGUUUUCCUGGCACUAUAGUGGUCUUUUAAGGGUAGUGGGAGAUGGCACCCAGACCACUCCAAUGGGCAGAAGUGGUCUGGGUGCCUGGAAUGUCCCUUUAAAUGCCCAACAAAUACAUAAUAAAAAAGAGAUUGCACAUUAGACUACUCCAAAGAUAUACACAUUAAUGUUUUAUUAAUAAACAAAAAGCAUAAAAAUUAAAUGGAGCACCACAACAAAUUUGAAGUGACAAAACAAAUAAGGCAAAUACUUUAAAAAGUGGUACUAGCCACAACUUACACAAGCCGCUACAAACCCCAACGUUUCGGCACCUCCUGACUGCUUUUCUCAACACCCUUGAGAAAAACUGGCACAAAAAGAAAAUAUCACCGCAACUAUACAAACCUACAGAUUAUUGAGGUCAUAGAGAGAGUUUUUACUUUCCAUUUUUCUGUCUAAGGUGCAUUCAUGUGCACGGUGUUCAUCUAUCCCCUCCCUACCUUUAGCUUGACUCCAUUACCAGUAUUUUACUACAUUCCGCAGUUAGCCUAUGUAAUAAGGAACAUAUGCAGCUCUGGCUUGAACUAUAAAUAUGUGAUAAAAGGGUGGAAAACAAACAAAACAGCCACCAGCAUCUUACAAGCACUAAAUCAUUGCAGCGCCCCUUCCUAAACUCUGAAGGCCCAGUGUGCCAGGAAUCUGGUCAGCACGUCCGUGUGUGAUAUUUGUUUUGAGUAUAUUGACUGUAUGUUAUAUUUGUGAGGGGUAUUUAAUUCAGAUUUGUUUUUUGUUUUUUUAAAUGCAUAUAGGCCCAUGUGUGGAUGCAGGUGUGUAUUUCUGCAGUUUCAUAUGCACACAGUUACAGACAGUCACACAUACACAAUCACAAGCAGGUAGUGGCACACAUUUACAGGCAGACAGACAGUCACACACACACACACAGUCAUCUCUUUCCAUUAUGGCGGCACUGUAGCCUCUGGAGUCUAGUUGUGGGGUAAGCUGGUACUCCUUCCUGCUUAUCACUCAGUGUCCAGCAGAAACCUGGCUGCGGGAUCAGCUUUAUUUAGCUCUGCCCCUGCCGCCCAGUUAGCCCAACCACUGUAUAGCUCUCUCCCCACUCCCUUACCUGGCUUUUGAAACUGCAUGUGCGAGCUAUGUCUGCUGUCUGCUGUUUACAAAGUAAAAAGUGGUUUAAUUUUCGAUCAGAUGAUAAAGGUAUACUACAGUAUUAGGAAUACAAAGCUGCAUUCCUAACGCUAUUGUACCCUUUGCUUCCCCCUUCCAUCCUGCCCCUCCUGGCCAAUAAAGAGUUAAAAACCCUUUACUUGAUUCCAGGUACGCUCUCCCUUGGUGCUGGGUCAGCGCCCCCUUCUCACUCUAUCAGUAGCUUAAUUUCUGCCACACUGUGAAGGAUCUAGUCUUUGUGAGCAGGCAAGUCCAGCUCACAGAUACAGGAACUGGAUUGGUGUUAUCCCCUUGUCCCAAAUCUGUGGCUGCGAUACUGGCUGCUACAGCUCCUUGCACCUGCUACUGGUGGAAGGAAGGCCAUCUGCAAAACUGCUCGGGCUGUGCCUUAUACACAUGUCCUGCCCCCCAUCCCACCCACCCCCAGAUGGCGGGUCUCGCUGCAGCUUUGGAACUGUAUAUUUAAAUGUGAUUGGUCUUGCAUGUUUAAUGCAUUCAGAAUUGGAAAGCGCUUUUCCUUUAAUGGGAAGUCGUUUUUUGUUUCCUAAAAGAGCAGAACAACUACUCAAAUAUCUAAACUUGUAUGACUUUAUUUUUAUGGACGUAAAGUAAUGUGAACUUUUGGUUCUGCUGCUGUUAGCGAAAAUAUGUUGCUUCAUGCAGGAACCACUGGGUGGACACAGAGAUAGAAGGACACUAUAGUUAUGCAUUUGUUUGUAGACAAAUCACAAAUUCUGAUGAAAAUAGAGUAAUGAAGGAAUCGUACAAGAAACAAUAUUCUUUCAUGCACUACUCUUAGGUCCUACUUAGAAAUAGACUGCUGUAAAACGGUGUCGUUGGAUAGCUCGGGUUUCCCACUGUCUUAAGUCCAAAUACUGUCCCAAUCAGGCAUUGGGCCCCUGAGUGAUACCUCUUUAAAGAUUUACAGGGUGUUGCUGGAGAAGUACCCAGUGAGGAGUUUCAUGACAUUGGAAUGGUUUGCCCCUGGAAUGAAAAAUGUUUAAUUAACGAGGUUCCCUGUGGAGCUUUUCCACAAGUAAAGUGUCAUUUAAAAGCUCCAGAACUUCUCUGUUUACUGUCCAAAAAGCAUGUGAUCUGUCGCAGGGGGUCCAAGCUACAUCCGGUUAUAGUUGCAGCGGGUUGUUCCAAACUUCCUAUCUGCUUGGCAGUUUCACAAUUUCUAGGUUUGUCCCAAUCUGGCGCAUGGAGCCUGCAAAGCUGAUUAGUCUGUGGAAAUCUGGUUUCGGCAGGUCAGACUAGGUUACUAUGCACCUAAUAAGCAUAAGGGGGGGACUGGGAAGCUAAGAAACCAAGUUCCCCAUGAAUCUGCCAUGGCCCCGCUCCCAAACUCAAACUUAUCCCCAUAUGUCCCCAUUCUCAGGGGGUUACCGGGACAUUCCAUCAAUAAAUCUGGAACCCCGUGUUUCCAGCCCACAGUAGUUCCCGUCACACUUUGCUCACCCUCCCUUUUUCUUUUAAUACAAGGGAGGUAGCCCAAAGCAUGUGCCAAUUGCAGAUCAUGUCACAGGAGUGAGCUGAUUUGUCCAAUUAAAUCAGCUUGCUCCUCCCCCACCUUUCCUCCACUUUGUGUGAUGUAACAUCAGAAUGAACAAAUUGUGGGGCUUAGUAACCCGGAACUCGAAUAAAUACAUUUUUUGUCCAAUUGCAAUAUGUUUUAAAAUGAAUGAACAAGGGACACAACUCCAUCAACCAAAUGGGUGCAUGAGGUUAUUUCACUACAAUAAAGUAGGCCUGUUUUACCCCUUCAUCAAACUGCAAGUGGAAAUUUAAACUUGUUAAAUUAUUGAUUUUAAUGUGGAUACAAAAAAAUAAAAAAUACAGGACACUGAGCCCUCAUUGAAUACUAGUGUAGCAACCUACUUUUCUACCCUGCCUUUUCCUUUUGUGUCACCAAACCCCACUCCCUCUAGCAUGGAAGCUCAUUGAGGAGGGCCCUCAAUCCUUCUGUUCCUGUGUGUCCAACUU